ensembl:lncRNA
AGGCAGAUUAGUUCAAACAGAAGUUUUCAUGUCAGCAGUCAUUACACCAAAUAAGGAUGAAAAGAUAUGUCAGUUAGAGAAGUUAUAGAAUUCUUAAAUUCGUAUGCCCCCAAGUAUCCCUGCUGUGUAAUGGACAAUUACUUUACACUGAAUAGUAAAAAGGAACACCAAUCUUAGCUUAGAAAGAUUGACACCAAAUUAUAGCAUGUAACUGUAGAUACAUCAGCACUGCAUCUUCCUAUGGGUACUAAAAUUAGCAGUUGACUUUCAUCAGUUUUAAUUUCUUUUAAGUGUUUACAAAUGUAGACUUUGCACGCAUUCAAGAGUUCUACUGUUUCCAGCAAGCUGCUCCACUGACUUAUAGAAAUGCUGAUUCACUGAGAUGUUCAUUAGCUCUAAUCAAUUAGCCACUUAUCCCCAAAACAGGACAUCCAAGAGUGAAAUGCAAGUGAAUAGACACAUUUUCAACCAUUCCUAAGAGACGGAGAAUGGCAAGAGCUAAAUCGUAACACUUUGACUAUUGUUUUACAUUAGCCAGCUUUAUAUAAUACUCUCACAGAGGAUAAACACACUCUGUGCUGACUUUCACUGACUGUAUAAGUCCAAGAAUUUGUUUUAGCUGAUGCAUUUUUGACCAAAGAACCUUUCUCUUUUUUCCAAAACCUAGACUGUAUAUGCUUCUUAUUCUCCCCGUGUUCUGCCAGUCAUCUUUUGAAUUCUGAAUAUUCAAAAUAACAAUGUAGUAACAGCUCAAUUUAAAUACAAGUUGACAAAUCUACUACAUACUUUCUGAAAUUCUUGACUGUAUGCAACUGAUUCAACUAAAUAGAUAUCAUCCUGAAAUAGAUAUCCAUUUUUAAUAUCAAUUCUGCUACUAAGUAGAAGUUUUACACACUCAUUUGGCAAGUGUCUGGGGCAUCAGCUGUUGUGAUACUCCAACUCUUGUUAAAAUGUCAUGACUAAUCAUGAGGGAUAGACAUUUCCAAUAAAGAUGCAAUCAACACAGUCAAACUAAGGAAUGGGUGGAGUGAAAAACUACUGCCUGAGAUGCUCAUACCCAGCCAAGAUCUCCCACAGUGCUUGAGUUAAAAAUAUAUAUACAGUACUCCAGAAGUUCUUUCAAAUGAGUCCAGGCAAUUACUUUUAUCCUUCCCUGCAGCUUCCAAUACAUGUAUGUUGCCUCCCAAAGUCUGUAAACAUAGAUCUGUGAGAUCUCUAGAGAAGUGCCGCCCAAACAAUCCUCCCUCAAGAGCUCUGCAUUACAGAUAGUGUUACUAGUACUGGUUGAACUUCCUACAGUAUCAGAUGCUACUACAGUAAGAAAGGGAAGACUAGCACAACUCAAGGAAGAAGUAGGUAGGUUUCAUGAGCAAUUCAGCCUAAGUGAAGGCAGCAAUAAGAUACUCAGAAGGAAACAGUAUAACCACCGGUCUUCUGCUGCUCAAGAGCCACCGGCUUCUUCCAGGUAAAAAAGAGGCAUCUGAUAAGCAGCAUGAAGCCUCUUUUCCUUUGAAUGGAUAUUUUUCUUUGCAUCAGGUCUUUCAUUAUUUAGCAUUUCUUACAUGAAGGGGCAGUGAGCCUGCUUAAAAGUGGAAACAACUGUGCAAAUAAUAAGAGAGCAGCGUUAAAACAAAUGCUUACUUGAUGAUGGGAUUCUGGAUUUUGUUUGUCCUCAGGGGGUGGGUUGGGGGAGGGUGGGGGUGGAGAACAUGAUGGAGGACUAUGUAGUACUGAAAAACUUGGUAUUGUCCAGCUUCUGAGAAAAGGCCUACAUUCCUCAAGGGGAAGAUAAACAGGGAUUUUGCACAUUGUAAAGAGCAAUCUGAGUGGACUGCGAGCUCAUAUUUGUUCUUGGAAUGGCACUGUUCUG